rnacentral:rRNA from 1 species
CCCAAGAACCCGCAUGGGGGCACGUGCCGCAGCAAUGCCGCGUGGUGAUGAAGGCCUUCGGGUUGUAAAGCUCUUUCGUCGGGGAGGCCAGCACCCUGGCGCCUGGCGUUUCCCUGACAAGAAGCCCCGGGUUACUCCCUGGCCACCGCCCCGGUAAUAACGGAA